UACGUAGGGGGCAAGCGUUGUCCGGAUUUAUUGGGCGUAAAGAGCGUGUAGGCGGCUAGGUAGGUCCGUUGUGAAAACUCGAGGCUCAACCUCGAGACGUCGAUGGAAACCAUCUAGCUAGAGUCCGGAAGAGGAGAGUGGAAUUCCUGGUGUAGCGGUGAAAUGCGCAGAUAUCAGGAAGAACACCAAUGGCGAAGGCAGCUCUCUGGGACGGUACUGACGCUGAGACGCGAAAGCCAGGGGAGCAAACGGG
rnacentral:rRNA from 1 species